UAGANGGUGAUCAUGGCUCAGAUUGAACGCUGGCGGCAGGCCUAACACAUGCAAGUCGAGCGGAAACGACACUAACAAUCCUUCGGGUGCGUUAAUGGGCGUCGAGCGGCGGACGGGUGAGUAAUGCCUAGGAAAUUGCCUUGAUGUGGGGGAUAACCAUUGGAAACGAUGGCUAAUACCGCAUAAUGCCUACGGGCCAAAGAGGGGGACCUUCGGGCCUCUCGCGUCAAGAUAUGCCUAGGUGGGAUUAGCUAGUUGGUGAGGUAAUGGCUCACCAAGGCGACGAUCCCUAGCUGGCUGAGAGGAUGAUCAGCCACACUGGACUGAGACACGGCCCAGACUCCUACGGGAGGCAGCAGUGGGGAUUGCAAUGGGGCGAAAGCUGAUGCAGCCAUGGCCGCGUGUAUGAAGAAGGCCUUCGGGUUGUAAAGUACUUUCAGUUGUGAGGAAGGGGGUAGUGUUAAUAGCGCUAUCUCUUGACGUUAGCAACAGAAGAAGCACCGGCUAACUCCGUGCCAGCAGCCGCGGUAAUACGGAGGGUGCGAGCGUUAAUCGGAAUUACUGGGCGUAAAGCGCAUGCAGGUGGUUCAUUAAGUCAGAUGUGAAAGCCCGGGGCUCAACCUCGGAACUGCAUUUGAAACUGGUGAACUAGAGUACUGUAGAGGGGGGUAGAAUUUCAGGUGUAGCGGUGAAAUGCGUAGAGAUCUGAAGGAAUACCAGUGGCGAAGGCGGCCCCCUGGACAGAUACUGACACUCAGAUGCGAAAGCGUGGGGAGCAAACAGGAUUAGAUACCCUGGUAGUCCACGCCGUAAACGAUGUCUACUUGGAGGUUGUGGCCUUGAGCCGUGGCUUUCGGAGCUAACGCGUUAAGUAGACCGCCUGGGGAGUACGGUCGCAAGAUUAAAACUCAAAUGAAUUGACGGGGGCCCGCACAAGCGGUGGAGCAUGUGGUUUAAUUCGAUGCAACGCGAAGAACCUUACCUACUCUUGACAUCCAGAGAAGCCAGGCGGAGANCGCAG
rnacentral:rRNA from 1 species